rnacentral:rRNA from 1 species
CCUACGGGAGGCAGCAGUGGGGAAUAUUGCACAAUGGGGGAAACCCUGAUGCAGCGACGCCGCGUGAGUGAAGAAGUAUUUCGGUACGUAAAGCUCUAUCAGCAGGGAAGAAACUGACGGUACCUGACUAAGAAUCCCCGGCUAACUACGUGCCAGCAGCAGCGGUAAUACGUAGGGGGCAAGCGUUAUCCGGAUUUACUGGGUGUAAAGGGAGCGUAGACGGCAGCGCAAGUCUGGAGUGAAAUCCCAUGGCUUAACCAUGGAACUGCUUUGGAAACUGUGCAGCUAGAGUGCAGGAGAGGUAAGCGGAAUUCCGAGUGUAGCGGUGAAAUGCGUAGAUAUUAGGAGGAACACCAGUGGCGAAGGCGGCUUACUGGACUGUAACUGACGUUGAGGCGCGAAAGCGUGGGGAGCAAACAGGAUUAGAUACCCGAGUAGUC